UCUCCAGGCGACAAUUGUUGUUAACGUUAUAUUUGUUAUAUAGGAAUAUAACGUUAACAACAAUUGUCGCCUAAAG